AAUCUUCUGUAUCCGUGCUGAGACUUUGUCACACACCAGACCACAAGGGCUGAUGAUACUCCCAAGAUAAGUGAAGCG
rnacentral:pre_miRNA from 1 species